GAUGAACGCUGGCGGCGUGCCUAAUACAUGCAAGUCGAGCGAAGCGGGGACGGGUGAGUAACACGUGGAUAACCUCCUAUAAGACUGGGAUAACUUCGGGAAACCGGAGCUAAACCGGAUACUUAUAGAUAGAUCCGCUCUGCAUUAGCUAGUUGGUAAGGUAACGGCUUACCAAGGCAACGAUGCAUAGCCGACCUGAGAGAGGAAUCGGCCAAACCGGAGCGCAAACACGGUCCAGAAUCUUACGGGAGGCAGCAUUAGUGAAUCUUCCGCAAUGGGCGAAAGCCUGACGGAGCAACGCCGGGUGAGUGAUGAAGGUCUUCUGAUCGUAAAACUCUGUUAUUAGGGAAACGGUAACUAACAAGAAAGCCACGGCUAACUACUUGCCAGCCGCCGCUGUAAUUC
rnacentral:rRNA from 1 species